UAACCCGUCUUGGCUGAUAACCUUAAUUAUCGCGAUCUUAAUGACCCAUGGUGCCUCCACUUGUGCCUCUCCCCUCCCGUACACAUACACGUACGCGCGGUUCGCGUGAGCUCGCCUCGACCGCUGGAAAACUCAAUUUGGCCCGACUCCAACGGCUCCUCUGGGAGGCGAAACGAGUCCUCCGUCGGGCUCAGCAUCCCCGGAACGGGAAUAGCCGGGUUAUUUUUGACCCGGUGCGCGCGAAACCCGGCCUCUUCUCGCGAGAAGCCUCUCCCCACCGAGCGGGGAGGGUGACAUUUCUCUUUACGCGGCGGAUCGUUCCGCGGAGGAAUGUUAUGUUAAGAGGAAAACGGCAAAAAACCGGCGGCAACCGGCGAAAACACGCUUCUGUCAGCCGGUAAACAAGCGUGCUCGAUAAACCGGUAGGCUGUCCAACGAAGGAGAUUUAUCGGGGCGAUCGAUAAGAGAUUGGACGAGCGAGUUUAGUGCUUUCUCUGUGUGUGCACAUUUCGUUAGACGAAAGAGGAGACACGUAUAUGGAGAUACGUAUAUAUAGAGACAAAAAGCAGUGUACGUGUGGCAUAAUAGAUCCUUUGGAAGUUUGAUUAUAUCUGCUAAUAUGAAUUUCAUCGUUCGCGGGACGGAAGGAGGGAAAGAAGAUUAAAGAUGAAUUCAAAGGAGGAAGAAUGGCAGUCAACGAUCAACAGAUUUAUUAAAAUCUAUCCAGAUCUGGCAGGAUUUACUGGAGAUUUGUCGAGAGUUGCUGUUUAUCAAUUGUCUCUGUUAUUUGUCUCGCUUCAAACGGUUAGAGGCAAAAAUGAUAAGACGUUCAAAAUGUCUUCGUUUCGUUGAUUAUUUCGUUCCUUGUUUCUCCCCUUGUAAAUACAACACUAGUAGCCCGAGUUUGCCGAGAAAACUCAAAUUCUUGAAGCUUCUUGCUCAACGCGGUAUGAAUAAGAAAAGACGAAGGAAAAUCCAUUCUAUUGGGAGGAAAGUUCAAAUCGAAGUAACUUUUGAACUAAUAACCAUGACCUUCCAUCUUGCGCUUAUCUUAAACUAUGUAUAACAUCGUAACUUUUAAUAAAUGCAAUUGGACUACACAUCGAGA